UUGGUGGUCUGGUCGACAGAAGCAGAGAAAAGGGGCGACCCCCAUAUCCAAAACCCUAACAUCACCAAUUCUUGCAAAUUGAAGGCUCAAAUCCUAACCAAAACAAAAUCCGAGCUUAGAAUCGUGUUCCUCAUCGCGAGAGGGUCUAGAGGCAAAGAGUCCGGUUCCUCUAGCGGACAAGCCGAGGGGAAAUCACGAGGAAAAGGCGCGCUCUAAAGUUCUCAGGUACCAAGAAAAAGGAUGAAGAUCAAGCAAAUGAAUCGAACCGAACACACACAUUUCAAGAACGCUUCCGCAUCCAAACUUUGUGUUAGAAACUAUGUAAAUUAAUGGUAGUUACUGUCUUGUAUGUGGUUUGUAACAACAAUACACGAAGGUUGUGUUAAUUUUGGGUUAAACUAUGAAAGUUUUUGUAAAGUCGUCAUUUUGGCGUUAAAUGCAAGAGCUUAA
rnacentral:lncRNA from 1 species